CUCCCAAGUAGCUGGGAUUACAUGCAUGUGCCACCACGCACGGCUAGAGAACUAUUGAUGAGAUGAAGUGAUGCAUCUUCAAGUUAACUAGUACCUGUCUGUUCUUCUACAUUGUACAUUAGAUAACUCACCAACUCCUCAGAAGACUGAAGCCUCAGCAGGUGUUGGCACUGUCACAUAAGUCCCCAUGAGUCCCUACAGCCACAAUAAAUUGAAUUCUGCCAAAAAUCUUAAUAAGCUUGGAAGAAGACCUUCAGCUCCUGAUGAGAACCCAGCCAGAAACAAGAUGAGAACCCAGAAACAAGAUUUUCAUCUUAUUUCAACCUGAGCAGAGAACCCAGAGGAGCCCUGGCCAGAUUUUUGGUCUACAGGAUUGAGUCUCUGAAAAUGCAACGGAGAAUAAAAAUGUGGUCAGACCUGCCGCCAGCACCUAUGCCCUCCAGUCCUGAGCUGACAAAAAUGUCAAGAAACUGACAGUAAAAUAUGCGAAGAAAAAGCCCUGCAAACAAGAACAAACCCCAGACUAUUUGGCGCUUUCACCACACUGUGUCAUGGUUUUCAAACAGAAAUAGCAGUUGUGGGAUUUAUUAUCUCUAACAUCACUUGUUAAAUUUCACACUACGCAAAUGAUAUAAAGUAUACGAGUAAGGAAGCUACUGAAGAAGGAAUGAGGCAAUGCCGGAAAGGAAAUAGACAGAUGGACUCCACAGAGCGCUAAUGGAGGAAUCUUUGCCACGGUCAGUGGAAGGAUUAUCAUCCACCCCUGUGGAUUUCUAACAGGGCAAGAGUGCUGUUAAGGAAAGGAAAAGCAACCGGCGUUAUUGGGGAACUUGCCCCGAUAUUCACGCAGGUUCUUUUCUAUUUUCCUUAAGAGUCGGCCAGCUUGAGAAAUAAAGGGACAGAGUACAAAAGAGAGAAAUUUUAAAGCUGGGCGUCCGGAGGAGACAUCACAUGUCGGUAGGUUCUUCAGCCGGUCCCUCUGUUUGAGGUCCUUGACUUCUUGCAACACGGCAUGAAAACCACCAACUCUGCCUACGUGAGCCCAAUAUAUGGUUGAAAAGUUGAAAUGUACAUUUGUUUUAUUGAUCAACCUAGUGUUAGAUAACCUAGUUAAUUUCCUUGAGUACUUCUAGUAUUUAUUCAAUGGUUCUAAGUACAUGAUCUUCCCCAAAUGAGAACUUCUGAGCAAUCGUGGACAUUGACUGUCACUGUUUUCUGAACUCCUGAGAGAGGCUGGGUUUUUCAUGUAUCCAAUUUCAUCUACAUAACAAUUCUACAAGGUAAGUAUUUUUUUCCCCCAUUUGAGAGACUAAGGUGUAGGGCAAAGUAACUUUCCUCCAUGAAAGGAAACUGAGGCAGAGGGAAAAGUGACUUUCUCAAAAUCGCAGUUGUUAGUUAACAAAGCUGAUAUUCAAAUGUAUAAUUGUCUGAACCCAGGUGACCCUCUUAACACAAAACUCCCUCCCUGAAAGAAAGCAGUUGAUUUAGUUCUCUAAUAAAUAUAUUUAUAAGAUAUCAUUUUAAAUAGCAAAUGCAACUCGGGGCACAUUCUAAGCAAGAGCUGCAAAUAUCCUAUAUUUAUACAUUUGAAAUUGCAUCUUAACCCUUCUCCUUCUUUAACAACUGGAGACACUCAUAAAUGUGGCUUAUUUCUUUAUCCUUUGACAGAUUGAAAAAUCAAGGCACACAAGAAUGAAAUGUCCUGUUUUGGUUAAACUAAUAACUGCAGCCCUCUUGUAAAAAUAGGAAGAAGCAGCUGUGUAAAAUGACUCCAUCAAAGCAGAAUUGCGUUACUCCCUGAAGACAUCAGAUAACAGAUAUCGUAGAUAUGUUUAUAAUUGAUGGUUUUAAAGUGCAAUUGAGGUGCCCUACUUAGCUUGGGGUAUGCACAACUCAAUUGCACAUAAAAUUGGCAACUCAUGGCCUUAAAAAAA
rnacentral:lncRNA from 1 species